rnacentral:rRNA from 1 species
CAGCGAAAGUGAGUCUGAACAGGGCAUUCAGUCCGCUGCUUUAGACCCGAAACCAGGUGAUCUAGCCAUGCGCAGGAUGAAGGUGCGGUAACACGCACUGGAGGACCGAACCGGGAUCUGUUGAAAAAGAUUCGGAUGACCUGUGGGUCGGAGUGAAAGGCUAAUCAAGUCCGGAGAUAGCUGGUUCUCCCCGAAAGCUAUUUAGGUAGCGCCUCGGACGAAUACCAUUGGGGGUAGAGCACUGUUUGGGCUAGGGGGUCAUCCCGACUUACCAACCCCAUGCAAACUCCGAAUACCAAUGAGUACUAUCCGGGAGACACACGGCGGGUGCUAACGUCCGUCGUGGAGAGGGAAACAACCCUGACCGACAGCUAAGGCCCCCAAUUCGUGGCUAAGUGGGAAAGGAUGUGGGACUCCCAAAACAACCAGGAGGUUGGCUUAGAAGCAGC